rnacentral:rRNA from 1 species
UACGUAGGGAGCAAGCGUUGUCCGGAAUCAUUGGGCGUAAAGCGCGCGUAGGUGGCCCCAUAAGUCCGCUGUGAAAGUCGAAGGUUCAACCUUCGAAAGCCGGCCGAUACUGUCGGACUAGAGUUCGGAAGAGGCAAGUGGAAUUCCCGGUGUAGCGGUGAAAUGCGCAGAUAUCGGGAGGAACACCAAUUGCGAAGGCAGCUUGCUGGGACGAGUACUGACGCUGAGGCGCGAAAGCGUGGGGAGCAACAGG